GAAUCGCUAGUAAUCGCAAAUCAGAAUGUUGCGGUGAAUACGUUCCCGGGUCUUGUACACACCGCCCGUCACACCAUGGGAGUCGGGAAUGCCCGAAGUCAGUGACCCAACCGCAAGGGAGGGAGCUGCCGAAGGCAGGCUCGAUAACUGGGGUGAAGUCGUAACAAGGUAUC
rnacentral:rRNA from 1 species